rnacentral:rRNA from 1 species
UACGAAGGGGGCUAGCGUUGCUCGGAAUCACUGGGCGUAAAGCGCACGUAGGCGGCUUUUUAAGUCAGAGGUGAAAUCCUGGAGCUCAACUCCAGAACUGCCUUUGAUACUGAGAGGCUUGGGUCCGGGAGAGGUGAGUGGAACUGCGAGUGUAGAGGUGAAAUUCGUAGAUAUUCGCAAGAACACCAGUGGCGAAGGCGGCUCACUGGCCCGAUACUGACGCUGAGGCACGAAAGCGUGGGGAGCAAACAGG